rnacentral:rRNA from 1 species
UACGUAGGGUGCAAGCGUUAAUCGGAAUUACUGGGCGUAAAGCGUGCGCAGGCGGUUAUGUGAGACAGGGGUGAAAUCCCCGGGCUUAACCUGGGAACUGCAUUUGUGACUGCAUAGCUAGAGUACGGUAGAGGGGGAUGGAAUUCCGCGUGUAGCAGUGAAAUGCGUAGAUAUGCGGAGGAACACCGAUGGCGAAGGCAAUCCCCUGGACCUGUACUGACGCUCAUGCACGAAAGCGUGGGGAGCAAACAGG